rnacentral:rRNA from 1 species
UACGGGGGGGGCAAGCGUUGUUCGGAAUUACUGGGCGUAAAGGGCUCGUAGGUGGCCAACUAAGUCAGACGUGAAAUCCCUCGGCUUAACCGGGGAACUGCGUCUGAUACUGGAUGGCUUGAGUUUGGGAGAGGGACGCGGAAUUCCAGGUGUAGCGGUGAAAUGCGUAGAUAUCAGGAGGAACACCUGUGGCGAAAGCGGCUCACUGGACCACAACUGACGCUGAUGCACGAAAGCUAGGGGAGCAAACAGG